CGAGAAUCGCAACAACAAAAAUCUUGAUUGGCUUGCUGUGCACCAGCAAAGACUGAAAGAAGCACAUACAAGAGCCAAACAGUAUGCAGAGCAAAAAGCAGCCGAACGCAUUGCUCAGCAUAGUCACAAAGUUUACUGUCCUUCAGUUGAAGUAGGAGAGUAUGUAUAUCUGAGACACAGACCGGCUGGUCGUAACAAAAUUCAGGAUGCAUGGAGUCCAGUUGUUUACCAAGUUGUUGACAUUGUAGGUACGACUUACACAGUACAACCUGCAGAUGGGGGACCUAUUAAGAGAGUGAAUAGGGUGGACAUCAGACCAUGUGUUAAUCCUCCUGACUUGACCCCUAGAAACACUGAAAAGACUGUAACAAAACCAACUGAGACUACUGAACCAGACACUGACUCAUGUGAUGAAGGUGAGGAAGCAGUAAUCAUUGAAGAGGUAUCUUUUCAUUUAAACCCUCGUCCAGAUGUUGAAAACUGCUAUGUUGAUGACUGUGUUCAGCUUCCAGAAGAUUCUCAGUUGAUUUCAGAAUGUGAACCCCCUGUGAUUGAACAGGCAGAGACUGAGCAUGUUGAGACUGAGACAUGUACUACUGACCAACCCUGUGAGGUACAGACACCUACUCCUUGUGUUAGAAAAGCUCCUAUACCUGCUCCCCGCAGGAGUAAACGUGUAAAUGCAGGGAAGCACCCAAAUCCACAUAAUGAACCCAGGUCAGUGUUGGAACCAGAACUAAGCUCUUCCAUGGUUUCACAGAUUAUUGCGAGCUUAGGUACUGUAUUUUUUAGAGAAGCUUUAAAAGAAGUUAAAAACAGUUACUUUGUCACCGAGGGCGUUGACGGUUAAGCAGGGGAGAAUGUAACCAGGUGGAAAAAGUGGGUACCUAUAACAAUAUUCAUUGUAAAUCCUGUUUUGCUUUUAUUUCACCUGUUGGUUGCAGUACUUGCUUUUGUCCAAAAGGUGGUGCUAUUCCCAUGUACAGAGGUCCAAAGUUUGAUUAUUGCUAAAUCCUCAUUUAUGUAUUCUCGCGUACUUUUGCACUGGGAAGACGUGAACUGUAGCCAUAUUGGACCGAGACUGGUUGGGAUGUGUUUGGCCACAUGAACAAAUGUUCGAGAAUCUCGAGGUGCCACUGCCGUGUUUUAUACAGUGUUUAUACCGUGUUUUGGACUGUGUUUUAUAUCGUGUCAUGAGUUUUCGAAAUCGUUGUAGUUCAAGUGCGUACAACGUUGUCAUUACGCCAUUUUGAGCGUUACAAGCAAAGCAAAAAAGAGAAUAUUUUAUUUUCAUAUUUUUGAACUUUAUUUUACAUUAUUCUAACUCGGAGGAAACGGUUCUUUUUGAGAAUAAAGAACCCACUAAAUUUGAA